UACCCGCAACACCUAGUACUCAUCGUUUACGGCGUGGACUACCAGGGCUAUCUAAUCCUGUUUGCUACCCACGCUUUCGCGUCUCAGCGUCAAUAUCGGUCCAGGUAGCCGCCUUCGCCACCGGUGAUUCCUCCUAAUAUCUACGAGAUUUCACUCCUACACUAGAGAAUUCCACUACGCCUCUCUCCGUAUUCAAGAUCUGACAGAUAUCCAAUGCACUAUCCUGGGUUAGAGACCCAG
rnacentral:rRNA from 1 species